AAUCUGUGUCCCACACUGUUGGUUCACCGCUCGCGGUGUCAACUGGCAGCUUGUGGUACGUCCUACCGGUGGGCUUAGCUCCUUCANGGGAACGGUCCAACUAAUAUCCCAUCGCGGUGCUCUUCAUCGAGUGUCGAGGUGGGCCGGUACGUUUACUUUGAACAAAUUAGAGUGUUUAAAGCAGGCUCUUCUCNCCUGAAUAAUGUGUGCAUGGAAUAAUGGRAUAGGACCUCGGUUCUAUUUWGUUGGUUUUCGGAACCCCGAGGUAAUGAUUAAUAGGGACAGAUGGGGGCAUUCGUAUUGCGACGUUAGA
rnacentral:rRNA from 1 species